rnacentral:tRNA from 1 species
AGCCCCGUGGUGGAGUACACAUUGGAUUGCAAAUCCAAAGACGCAGACUAAUCCCUGCCGGGGCUU